rnacentral:rRNA from 1 species
UACGGAGGGGGCUAGCGUUGUUCGGAAUUACUGGGCGUAAAGCGCACGUAGGCGGCUUUGUAAGUUAGAGGUGAAAGCCCGGAGCUCAACUCCGGAAUUGCCUUUAAGACUGCAUCGCUAGAAUUGUGGAGAGGUAAGUGGAAUUCCGAGUGUAGAGGUGAAAUUCGUAGAUAUUCGGAAGAACACCAGUGGCGAAGGCGACUUACUGGACACAUAUUGACGCUGAGGCGCGAAAGCUAGGGGAGCAAACGGG